UACAGAGGGUGCAAGCGUUAAUCGGAAUUACUGGGUGUAAAGCGUGCGUAGACGGUUACAUAAGUCGGGUGUGAAAGCCCCGGGCUCAACCUGGGAAUUGCAUUCGAGACUGCGUAGCUAGGGUGCGGAAGAGGGAAGCGGAAUUUCCGGUGUAGCGGUGAAAUGCGUAGAUAUCGGAAGGAACACCAGUGGCGAAAGCGGCUUCCUGGUCCAGCACCGACGUUCAGGCACGAAAGCGUGGGUAGCAAACAGG
rnacentral:rRNA from 1 species